CUUGGUCAUUUAGAGGAAGUAAAAGUCGUAACAAGGUUUCCGUAGGUGAACCUGCGGAAGGAUCAUUACAGAGUUCAUGCCCUUCGGGGUAGACCUCCCACCCUUGUGUAUUUAUACCUUUGUUGCUUUGGCAGGCCGCCAGGCUCGUCCUGGCUACCGGCUUCGGCUGGUGCGUGCCUGCCAGAGGACCCCAACCUCUGAAUGUUAGUGUCGUCUGAGUACUAUAUAAUAGUUAAAACUUUCAACAACGGAUCUCUUGGUUCUGGCAUCGAUGAAGAACGCAGCGAAAUGCGAUAAGUAAUGUGAAUUGCAGAAUUCAGUGAAUCAUCGAAUCUUUGAACGCACAUUGCGCCCUCUGGCAUUCUGGGGGGCAUGCCUGUCCGAGCGUCAUUACAACCCUCAAGCCCUGCUUGGUAUUGGGUGUCACGGUCUAAGUGCGCCUUAAAAUCAGUGGUGGUGCCAUCCAGCUCUCAAGCGUAGUAAAUUUCUCGCUCUGGGGGACUGUGUGGGUGCCUGCCAACUUCAAUUCUAUUACUGGUUGACCUCGGAUCAGGUAGGGAUACCCGCUGAACUUAAGCAUAUCAAUAAGCGGAGGAAAAGAAACCAACAGGGAUUGCCUCAGUAACGGCGAGUGAAGCGGCAACAGCUCAAAUUUGAAAUCUGGCCUUCUGGCCCGAGUUGUAAUUUGUAGAGGAUGCUUCGAAUGUGGUCUGGUCUAAGUUCCUUGGAACAGGACGUCAUAGAGGGUGAGAAUCCCGUAUGUGACCGGGUGCCUAAUUUCAUGUGAAGCUCCUUCGACGAGUCGAGUUGUUUGGGAAUGCAGCUCAAAAUGGGUGGUAAAUUUCAUCUAAAGCUAAAUACUGGCCAGAGACCGAUAGCGCACAAGUAGAGUGAUCGAAAGAUGAAAAGCACUUUGGAAAGAGAGUUAAACAGUACGUGAAAUUGUUGAAAGGGAAGCGCUUGCAACCAGACUUGCAUGCAGUUGAUCAUCUGAUGUUCUCACCAGUGCACUCAACUGCAUUCAGGCCAGCAUCAGUUUUAGUGGUUGGACAAAGGUCGAGGGAAUGUAGCUUCUCUCGGGGAGUGUUAUAGCCCUCGGUGCAAUGUAGCCUACUGGGACUGAGGACCGCGCUCCGGCUAGGAUGCUGGCGUAAUGGUUGUAAGCGGCCCGUCUUGAAACACGGACC
rnacentral:rRNA from 1 species